UCAAAUUUCCUCCAGUCGGCGCUUAAUAGGACUAAACUAAUUGAUGAUGAUCAUGUGCACAGUAUGCCUGUCAGUCAAAUGGGCAACUAUCAAGAGUAUUUGAAGAGGAUGCAGCCUCAACUGCGUGAAGUAGAAUCAACGCCUGUUAGACAACAUAUGUUUGGAAAUCCGUUUAAAAUCGACAAGCGGAUGAUGAUGGUGGACGAAGCUGAUAUUGACCUCGUCGGAGGCGGAGGUAGCUCACCAGCAAAGGAGGAACCAAGCGAGGAGCGAGCGAAAAUGUGGCCCCGACACGGCCUCCGCCGAGCAAGCGUAAAGCGGGUCCUAUCCCACGCCAUGUCACAUUCCGCAGAUCUCCGUCAGUGACCAGCUCCAGUUGUGGAGACUCGCCUCCCCCGACGCCGCCCCCUACUCCUCCCCCAAUCAUGCCAGUCAUGCCUUUAGUCAAUGGUGAUCUAGAUAGUCUUAGUAGAAGUUUGAAAAGAGAGCGACCUGGCUCGCGGUCACCUUCUCCUCCGCUGGCAGAUGUGCCACCACCAAUCCUCCAGCCGUACGAUGGCAGCCUAGCAUCGAGUGAAUCCAACCAGCGCAGCAUCCUGCCGAGUCCAGACCCUGUGCCCCCAAAACUAGAAGAGCUCGAGACGCCAUUCAAAGAGUUCAAUGAUUAUAGCCCUGCGUAUACCAACAGUAACCAUAACUAUAACCCUCCUCCUCCCCCUCCCCCUCUCCCCCUAACUGUAAAGCUGAUAGCAUAAUCGAUUCAGCUCAGGUUAAAAAGCAUAACAUGAAUUUGCGGGCGCUCGCGUUUAAAGAGAUUAAGAAACCCGGCAGAAGUAAGUAUCUCGGAAGCUAUUCCUCCCUCCCGACCUGUGCGACUGUGCAGUUUGGACAGUGGAGUUCUCUCUCAAUUCGAUUAUUAGGCUCUGAUAGAAAAGAUGUUGCAAAAUAUUUGUGAUUGGAAAAAGCAGCUGUUACCCCUUUAAAAAUAGAAAUCGAACAAUUUUGGAGAGGUGAUAAAUUUUGAAAGUGGGAACAAAACUCAAAGAAGCCUCUAACAUGUCUCACAAUUUAAAUGGUAUAACUUUCUCAAUCAAAUAGUGAGGGGCUAAAAGUUUUUGUUUGUUUGAAACCUUUUCGAAUUAUGAGAAAAUUAAACCAAGCUAAUAUUUCUGUGCAUACCAUAAUAAUCUUGUCUGCUCUAUUGUGCUGAAUCGCAGCUCUUAUGAUCAGGAACCAAAAUGUUUAAUUUCAUUUGAAGGGGGAAGAACUUCAAAUACUGUUUAUAUACAAGUAAUUUGCUGAAGUAACCUUAAUAAAAAGAGAGCGUUGGAGCUCUGUUAAAGUUAAUUUCUUGUCUUUCGUUCCUGCAAGUUGCGUCACAAUCGUCAAAAAUGAAGAACAGGAAGUUCAGUAAGUUCGAAUUUUAGUGAAACAUUUGUCAUUUCUAAGGUCUCAUCAAAUAUUACCAGCAUCUUUUGCAUCAAAGCCACAAACCACCCUCACUGCUUUUAGUGCCCAAUUGGAAAGAAGCAAGUCUCCUUGCAUAUUUGAGCUCUAAUGAACUUGGUCUUGGAGAGGGAAAAAAGAUUUUUGACCCAGUCAAUUCAAGUUCGAUUUAGCAUAUUCCCAACACAACUGUCAAGUAAUGAUUUUGUGACAGUUAGUUUUAUACUUUCCAUUUGGGCACUCGUUUUUACAUCGCUCUAAUCUUUGUGUAUUUGUUUUUCUAUGGUUACUUUUUGUGCUGCUAUAUGAGACACUGGAACAAGAUUUGUGGUUACACCAAUACACCAACCCUAAGGAAGAUAAAUUGAAUAGUAAAGAUAUGAUCUCUUCAUCAAAUUAUAUUGUUCUGAUACUAAUGAUUGGGACUGUUGCUCAGUUUGUUCUAAUUCAAAUUCAGAAGUACAUAUGUACAUAAGAAACGAGAAUACUUACAUUUUGACAAUGGACCACUAGACAGGGUACAAAUAUAAUCAUUUUGAUAAAUGGUUUCUUUAUCAAAAUCCUCUUAGAACCUGAUUAGUGCAACGAAAAGUACUGAUAUACCUCUAAUUGUUAACGAGAAUUUUGAAUAGAUUCGGUUUUGGUUUUUAUCUUCCUUGGGAACAGUUGUUAAAACCACAAGUUAAAUGCUUAUCAUGUUGACAAAAGUCUUGAUUCAGUUUUUUCUCUUUUUUUUUUUUUUUUUUUUUUUUUUUUUUUUUAAAAGAAAACUUAUUUAGCUUUGUUUUCAUUGUUUUUGAUUCUCUCGAAAGCAUCAAGUCAAAUUUUCAAGGAUAUUUCUAGAGUAGCCCACUAUUUUGACAUGAUCAGAUGACACAUGAACUAUUUUGACAUCUUGUAGAUUUUUACAACAUCAUUUCUUCGAACGUCAUAAGUUAUGAUAACAUUCCUAUGAGCUAGAGAAUUACUUGGUAUUAAAAAUUUAGGAAGAAGUUCUUUUGUUUUUUCCUUCUUUUUUUUUGAAAAAAAUCGAAGAAUAUCUGAUUUUCCUAAUUCGUGAUCUGUGUCAGAUCAUUUAACUGUUCUUACUUUUUGUAAAUAAUGAAUGAAAUUAAAGCAGUUGUAUUACUUAAUACAUAUAUUUAUGCCUGAAGUUGAGACGACAAAAGUGCGCCUUGAUACAGAAGACUGUAUUCUUUUGUAUCAGUAAUGAUUGGUGAAUCCAAGAAUGAAAAAUAUUUCCUGUCAUGCUUACAGAACUUCAAUAAUCUGUAGAAAAUCAUAUUUGAACUCUUUCAAUGAUACAGUAUUGCAUGGAUAGUCUUCUUGUUGAUUCUUGAAGAAAUGACCUGUUGUUCUUGCAAAAGAUAGCAAUGUCCUGUUAAUGCCUGCUAAUGACUCAAAUUGGCAGGUAUUCCAUCUUCUUUAAUGGAUGAAAUUAUCAACCUGAUGCUUUCGUUUGGUUUUAUCUGUGUCUUUGGAUCCAUUCUGUCAAUUGGACUGCAUUUUGCAAUUUGGAACUAUAAAUUCUGGCUCUUCUGGAAAAACACCCAUGGGCAUUGGGAAACUAAUGGCACAUACGUUGUUUUUAAACCGGGCUAGAAUUUAUAGUUCCAAAUUACAAAAUGUAGUCCAAUUACUCAUGUAAAGCCCGUGUAGAUUGUGGAAUGAACCACCGGGUCCGAGUAAGAAUUAAUCACCGCAGCACUUGUUUUCUAACCUAAAUUUUUAGCAGAAUACAUUGAAUAUACUGAAAACUUCUAAAAUCUCUCUGAAAGAGAAAUCAAAAUUUGUAGUUUACAUUUUUAACUGUAGGUAAAUUCAAACUUCACACUCGCGUUAAAAACGUAAUCAACAGAGGCCUUGUUUGGCGUUGCAUUAACCUAUAGUUAUGCAAUAGCCGACUGCUGUUUCACAGACACAUUUCCUUUCUCUUCUGAUGCAGGGCAUCCUCAAUCUGUCUCGAAAAAGUUAGCAAACAGGGAAAUUCCUCAUCAGAAAAUACGUGAGAAAGUGUGAAUUAAUGCAGACAAAAACUGUCAUUCAACUUGUGG
rnacentral:lncRNA from 1 species